GGUGGCGAUGGUUACUGCGGCCUGUCAGGGAAUUAUGGAACUGCGCGGAGUCCGCCACAGGAAGUGGAGCAGGAUCAUGGUUGUUAUUGUGAUCUGCCAGGGGGCGCGGAUCUGUUGAUCGAGGCUCGGCAGUGGUCGGAGUUCGGUCUCUGUAGGAGUCCGGGAGGGGUCCUCCUUUCGGUUGAGGUCGUGGGUGGAGUCCGGCUCCUGUAAGGGUCAGAACCCUCUGCAAUCAAAGUUAAAGAUGAUGUCCGGCUCCCGUAGGAGUCCGGACGAAGCUUACCAGCAGCUGACACUG
rnacentral:lncRNA from 1 species